CGCGGAGGAGGGACCGAGCUGGAUCGGCAGAAAGGGAAGGAGAAGGUCGCUGUGGGCCAGGGAAGGGGGAGCCCGCCCUCCGCGCCCUCGAUCUCCCUCACACGCGCGUCUCCCGUCUCGCCGGCUCCGGGCUCCUCACCUCACAGCCUGGAGCUCCCUCCCGGCGUCCGGCCGAAAGCCCUCCUGUGGCGGCGGAAGUCCAGGGCAGCCGUUCUCAUCCUCCCAGCCCGCCCGGCCGGGCGUACUCGCUGAGGCGGGGUCUCCGCAGGCGCCCGGCUCCUUUCCCGGCCCGUCCAGACCGCGUCUCCCGAUCAUCCGGAAAGCCACGGCUCGGCUCGGGGGCAAAUGGAGGCGCCUGAAAAACAAUGGUGUUGCUUUCUCCCCCGCCCGCACCUUCCUGAGCGCUGGGCUCUGGGCCGGGAGGCGGCGCCGCGGAGGCCGGGCGCGGGCCGAGGAGGGCGGGGCGGGGCCGGCCGCGGGAGCCGGGGUGCACUCACCGCCGCGGCGCGUCCCUGUUGGCGGGCGGCGCAGGCCUGGCCGCCGCGGGAGCCCGCCGGACGCCGAGGAAAGGAAAGGCCGGAGCCCUCCGGCUCCCUCCCCUGGGACACUUCCUGCUCCGCUCUAGGACUGGGGAGGUCUCCGCAUCUCAGUGGUUCGCUCCCCCGCCCCCCGGCCGAGGUGUGCGCUGGGGGUGACAUCCGACACCCCCGGCCCGCCCCGCUCCGCGCGCGCCUGGGCCUGGCCGCCGGGCCGGGGGCUUUGUGGGUCAGCCACGUCGCCGCGCCCGGGCCUCCCCGCGGGCCCGCCGGUCCGGAAGGUCGGCCCGGGGCUCUUUUCUCCGCUGUUCUCCUUCUCUGGCGCCCCCAGGACACGCGGGCCAGUGGACGCCCGGAACGGCCGACCGGGAGUCGCGGCUGGGGAUGGAAGCUGGAAAUGGGGGUGCGGGAUGGAGCGGAGAGAGGAGGCCCCGCGCGCCGUCGGCCGCCUCAUUUCAGACUCCCCUGCGACCCUCCCCCGCCGCCAGCCGAAGCCCGGGCCGCCCAGCCCCUCCUGCCGCUGCGGGACGCCGAAGGUAGCGCUCACAUCCGCGCCUUCCGGGCCUGGCGCCCACGUGCGGAGUCCCCGGGUUAGGAAAGGCCGCGCAUCCGGAGGCCACUCAGAGCCUCGGGGCUUGCGCAGAGGGGCUCCGGUGAGUCCUGACCCUGAGUGGGGGUCACGGGGCUCGUUGCUCGCUGAAGUGAACACGGCUGCCGCUGUGCACAGUGGCGGAGGGAGAGGAUGAGGGACUCUGACCCAAGGUUAUGUGGCAGUGAGGGGCAAGCAGAAAUGAGGGCCUCCGGACCCCACCCCGAGACAGGGCUGCUGGUCGCUGCACUAUGCUGAAUAUAGCCCAAAUUCUUACAUGGGUCGUCCCCGGGGAAUGCUCAUUUUUCAGGCUCCAGAGCUUGAGAGAAAGUGCGAACCCGGUCCCUGAGCAGGUCUGAUUCCCAUGGCCCCUUCUCCACCUGCUCUGCACCGAAAUUGGAUUCUCCUACGCAGAGGAGAAGGUGGAGAAGAUUGUCCGUCUUCCGGAGGGUAGCUACUGCCGAUAGCUCCGAUUUCCUUCGGAUCCCCUUUCAAGGGCAAGCAGAAGGAAAUCAGUUUCUCCAAAGAAAGUGGCCCGGCUGAGUAAGUGGGAACAAGGUGGUUGGACUGAGGCACGGGAUCCUUUAGCUCUGUUGCUCUUCUAAUCCCGUGGCCCUGGGCACCGCCACUUCCUCCUCUGAACUGCUGGAAUAAUCACUUCUGACUAGCAGAGUUACUGGGAGCCGCUGUUUGUCAGUGUUCACAUUCUGACUUUAGCAGGAGAUGGAGCGAGCGAAGGAGUGAAGCCGUUGUUUGUGAACAGUGAUUGUUUCCCGGAUGACAGCCAGAUGCCGGGCAGGGCCACGCAGAUCUUAGCUGGAGCCUACAGGACUGGUGCAAGACUGUCUAGAAUUCCAGAGCCUUCUCGAUGUUCGGGUCAGACCUCCAUGCUCUCCAGCACCACUCCUCCCCAACCCUCUCCAGGGGUCCCCUGGCUUCGCACGGUUACCCUCCCCGGCCUCCACCUCCCCAUCCCCAGUAAGUGCAAGCAGCUUUCCGGGGCGGGUUGGGUUUCAGCCGAGCAAGUCUGAGGCCCCUUUCCCGCGCCCUCUGGUGGAAAGUGUUCGCUUUUCUGUCCACCCCUGUGAAGGAUUCACCCCGACCCUCCUCAGGUGGCCUUUACUUUGCAGGAGCAAAGCAAGUGGAUGAGGACAUACAUGUAUGUGGCACACAGCUUUCUUCACUUAGCAACACGUCAGACGCAGUGUAGACGUGUGGAUGAAACCACCAUUGCAAAAUUAUCACUGAGACAGUCAGAGAAACCUGACAUGGCUGACUCCAUGUUGCUUUUAGCCUCACAGGCUGGCUAUCUUAGCUCAUUCCUAAGCAUGGGCCUGAAACUGCCAUUGCAAAAUCGUAACUGAGACAGCAAAAGAGACUUGACCUAACCAACUCCAUCUUGCUUCUAACCUCCAAGCUGUCCUUGUUCAUUCCUGGGUGUAGGCUGAACUAACUUUGGGAGGAACUUUAUAGUUUAAAACAAAGACGACAACAGCCCUUUCUCAAAACAAACAUCCUUCCUGACUGGGGACUAGACUGCCUUUGUAGGAUUAACAAAUUAGCCACAAGAUCAGAAAUUAUAGUUUAGGAGUCAUGCAGCUGGAGGCUGUAAGAUUGUGACCCUCCCUAAACUGCUCAGUGCUUGAGAUGUUUUGCAGACCCUGCACUGGAUGGAUCAGCUGGCACCACCCAGAUGGAUAAACUGGCUCAUCUGAUCUUGUGGCCCCCACCCAGGAACUGACUCAGUGCAAGAAGACAACUUCAAUUCCCUAUGAUUUAAUGUCCUACCUAAUCAAUCAGCACUCCUGACACACUGGCUUCCCCUCACCCACCAAAUUGUCCUUAAAACCUCUGAUCUCCAAAUGCUUGAGAAGACUGAUUUGAGUAAUAAUAAAACAAGGCUCCUGCACAGCCGGCUCUGCGCGAGUUACUCUUUCUCUACUGCAAUUCUCCUGUUGUGAUAAAUCGGCUCCAUCUAGGCAGCCAUCAGGGUGAACCCACUGGGUGGUUACAGGCCACGCUAAGUUCGGGAGAAAUUUAGUUUAUGGUUUAAAUGAUAACAGCCCUUCCCCAAAACUAAACUGCCCUGGUAAGACUAAUGAAAGGCCGCCAAGUUAGGAGGAUGACAGGGGCCUGAAUUCUACUGAGCCGUAAGCGUAAUUACCGGCCAUUUUUCCAGAGGACACAAGAUUUGCAACUUGCCCAAUUACUCCUGCAAAGAACAUCGCUACUGUAGCACCUGAGAAUGGCCUUUUGAGAUGUGUUUUCAGGCUUUUGCACUUCUGACAACUGAUGGCUGCACUUGGACUCGCCAGCCGGUCCCAUGUCCCCACCAGAAGCAGAGUCAGCACAAGAGGACAGCUCCGACUCCCUAGGAUUUCAGCUUUGACCAGUUGCACGCCUGGCUCACUGGCUUCCCCACACCCACCAAGUUGUUCUUAAAAACUCUGCUGCUCGAAUGCUCAGGGAGAGUGAUUUGAGUAAUAAUGAAACUGUUGUCUCCUGCACAGUCGGCUCUGCGUGAAUUCCUCCUUCUCUAUUGCAAUUCCGCUCUCUUGAGAAAUCGGCUCUGUCCAGGCAGCGGCAAGGUGAACCCACUGGGCGGUUACACUGAUAUGAUUCCCCCUUUGCAGUUUUUACUCUCUUGGUGCUGCAAACAGUUCCUCACUGAGGACCCUUGUAUAGGUAUCACUGUGAGCAUGAAUCAGAAUUUCUUUAGGAGACAUACAUACUAGUGGGUAUGUGCAUGUUAUGUAAUUUCUCUUAGCACUGUUUCCUCACUCAUCAAAUAAGGAUCAAGUAGUUCUCACCAUACAGGGUUAUUUUAGAAAUAAUUUAGUAUACAUAAUAUACAAUGCAAUAACAAGUACUGAUGUCUACUUCUUUUAGGUUAUAUGAUAAUACCUUAUAGUACAUGUGUGAUUAUAUAUAUUGCAGUAUAGAGUACGAUCUAUAAUUUACAGAACUGUUGUUUAUAUAUAACAAAUGCUGUCCUUGCGAUAGUUUGCUCAGAAUGAUGGUUUAUGUAUACAUAUGUAACAAACCUGCACGUUGUGCACACGUACCCUAGAACUUAAAGUAUAAUUUUAAAAAAUGCUAUAAUUCAUGUGGUGAUUAUUAUCUACCAGUUACAUCAUCGACAGAAUGAGCACGUUGUUAACAGUACACGCCAGACAGGAUGGCUGUGAGGAUCUGUGAUAAUAAGAAUUAGAUAUUUGGUCUUUGUCCCUGUUUCCUGAUGGAGGCUUCUAAACCCCUUGGAAUUCCCUGACUGAUAGGGGCAAGAGGAAAUCUUUUGUUAUUCCUAACGAGCCCCUUUCAUCCAUGCCUGUGUUUAUGCUAAUGAGGUGACUCCUGGAGGAUGAGGGCUGGUUGCCAGGGGAACCAACUUUGCCUUGCAACUUUCAGCUCCAGUCCGUGACCUCCAGGGAAAGAAGAGCGGCUGGAGAUUGAGUUUAAUCGCCAAUGACCAGUGAGUGAUUUGAUCAUUCAUGCUUAAAUAAUGGAACCAUAAGAAACCUAAAGAAAAGGUUUGGAGAGCUGCUGGGUUCAGGAGCACAUUCGUGCUGGGAGGGUGCUGUGCCUGGUGAAGGUGUGGAAGUGCUGACUCUGCCUCGCAUACCUUGUCCUGUCUGUGUCUUUCAUCUGGCUGUUGCUGAGUUGUGCUGUUUAUAAUAAUAAACUGGUAACAGGAAGUAAAGCACUUUCGUCUCACUUCACUCCCCAGACUGAAGUUCCAUGGCAUGAUCAUGGCUCUCUGCAGCCUCAACUUCCCAGCCUCAAGCAACCCUCCCAUCUCAGUCCAGGACUCUACCUCUCAUCAGGGCUGA
rnacentral:lncRNA from 1 species